rnacentral:rRNA from 1 species
GUGCCAGCAGCCGCGGUAAUACGGAGGGGGCAAGCAUUACCCGGAUUUACUGGGUGUAAAGGGUCCGCAGGCGGUUAAGCAAGUCAGUUUUUAAAUCCUCUGGCUCAACCAGAGAAUUGGAACUGAUACUGCCUAACUGUGAGUCCAGAGGGGGGAAACGGAACUGCCGGUGUAGCGGUGGAAUGCGUAGAUAUCGGCAGGAACACCCGUGGCGAAGGCGGUUUCCUACUCUGGUACUGACGCUCAGGGACGAAAGCGUGGGGAGCGAUCGGGAUUAGAUACCCCGGUAGUCCACGCUGUAAACGGUGGGUGCUGGGUGUCGGUUCGGUAAAACGGAUCGGUGUCGAAGUUAACACGUUAAGCACCCCACCUGGGGACUACGGCCGCAAGGUUGAAACUCAAAUGAAUUGACGG